GUCAUUUGAUGGGUUUUGAGUGAAAUCCAAUCUCUAGAACUAUACAAUACACCAACCACCCCAUUUCAGAACGAACUUCGUACGAACCUGAAUUGUCCGAUUUCAAGGACCAAUCGAUAUCGGAUUGAGUCCAAAACUUGGGGAACAUCAUAAUAUUGUGGGAGGAGUCUUUUGGUGGGUUUUGAGUGAAAUCCAAUCUCCAGAACUAUACAAUACACCAACCACCCCAUUUCAGAACGAACUUCGUAGGAACCUGAAUUGUCCGAUUUCAAGGACCAAUCGAUAUCGGAUUGAGUCCAAAACUUGGGGAACAUCAUAAUAUUCUGGGAGGAGCAUUUGUGGGUUUUGAGUGAAAUCCAUCUCUAGAACAUACAAUACACCAACCACCCCAUUUCAUAACGAACUUCGUACAAACCUGGAUUGUCCGAUUUCAAGGACAAUCGAUAUCGGAUUGAGUCCAAAACUUGGGGAACAUCAUAAUAUUGUGGGAGGAGUCAUGUGGUUUGUUUUUAGUGAAAUCCAAUCUCUAGAACUAUACAAUACAACAACCACCCCAUUUUAGAACGAACUUCGUAGGAACCUGAAUUGUCCGAUUUCAAGGACUAAUCGAUAUCGGAUUGAGUCCAAAACUUGGGGAACAUCAUAAUAUUGUCGGAGGAGUCAUUUGGUGGGUUUUGAGUGAAAUCCAAUCUCCAGAACUAUACAAUACAGCAACCACCCCAUUUAUGAACGAACUUUGUACGAACCUGAAUUGUCCGAUUUCAAGGACCAAUCGAUAUCGGAUUGAGUCCAAAACUCAGGGAACAUCAUAAUAUUGUGGGAGUUGUCAUUUGGUGCCUUUUGGGUAAAAUCCAAUCUCCAGAACUAUACAAUACACCAACCAACCCAUUUCCAGAACGAACUUCGUACGAACCUGAAUUGUCCGAUUUCAAGGACCAAUCGAUAUCGGAUUGAGUCCAAAACUCGGGGAACAUCAGAAUAUUGUGGGAGUUGUCAUUUGGUGCCUUUUCGGUAAAAUCCAAUCCCUACAGCUAUACAAUGCACCAACCACUCCAUUUCAGAACGACCUUCAGACGAACUUGAAUUGUCCGAUUUCGUUGACCAAUCGAUAUCGGAUUGAGUCAAAAACCUGGGGAACAUCAUAAUAUUGUGGGAGGAGUCAUUUGGUGGGUUUUCAGUGAAAUCCAAUCUCUAGAACUAUACAAUACACCAACCACCCCAUUUCAGAACGAACAUCGUGCGAACAUGAAUUGUCCGAUUUCAAGGACCAAUCGAUAUCGGAUUGAGUCCAAAACUUGGGGAACAUCAUCAUAUUGUGGGAGGAGUCAUUUGGGGGGUUUUGAGUGAAAUCCAAUCCCUAGAACUAUACAAUACACCAACCACCCCAUUUCAGAACGAACUUCGUACGAAACUAAAUUGUCCGAUUCGAAGGACCAAUCGAUAUCGGAUUGAGUCCAAAACUUGGGGAACAUCAUAAUAUUGUGGGAGGAGUCAUUUGGUGGGUUUUUAGUGAAAUCCAAUCUCUACAACUAUACAAUACACCAACCACCCCAUUUCAGAACGAACUUCGUACGAACCGGAAUUGUCGGAUUUCAAGGACCAAACGAUAUCGGAUUGAGUCCAAAACUUGGGGAACAUCAUAAUAUCGUGGGAGGAGUCAUUUGGUGGGUUUUGAGUGAAAUCCAAUCUCUAGAACUAUACAAUACACCAACUACCCCAUUUCAGAACAAACUUCGUACGAACAUGAAUUGUCCGAUUUCAAGGACCAAUCGAUAUCGGAUUGAGUCCAAAACUUGGGGAACAUCGUAAUAUUGUGGGAGGAGUCAUUUGGUGGAUUUUGAGUGAAAUCCAAUCUCUAAAGCUAUACAAUACACCAACCACUCCAUUUCAGAUCGAAAUUCGUACGAACUUGAAUUCUCUGAUUUCACAAUCCAAUCGAUAUCGAAUUGAGUCCAAAACUUGGGGAACCUCAUGAUAUUGUGGGAGUCAUUUGGUGGCUUUUGGGUGAAAUCCAAUCCCUACAACUAUACAAUACACCAACCAUUCCAUUUCAGAACGACCUUCAUACGACGUUGAAUUGUCCGAUUUCAUUGACCAAUCGAUAUCGGAUUGAGUCCAAAACCUCGGGAACAUCAUAAUAUUGUGGGAGUUGUCAUUUGGUGCCUUUUGGGUAAAAUCCAAUCUCCAGAACUAUACAAUACACCAACCAACCCAUUUCCAGAACGAACUUCGUACGAACCUGAAUUGUCCGAUUUCAAGGACCAAUCGAUAUCGGAUUGAGUCCAAAACUCGUGGAACAUCAUAAUAUUGUGGGAGUUUUCAUUUGGUGGCUUUUGGGUAAAAUCUAAUCCCUACAGCUAUACAAUGCACCAACCACUCCAUUGCAGAACGACCUUCAUACGAACUUGAAUUGUCCGAUUUGAUGGACCAAUCGAGAUCUGAUUGAGUACAAAACCUGGGGAACAUCAUAAUAUUGUGGGAGGAGUCAUUUGGUGGGUUUUGAGUGAAAUCCAAUCUCUAGAACUAUUCAAUACACCAACCACUAUAUUUCCGAACGAACUUCGUACGAACCUGAAUUGUCCGAUUUCAAGGACCAAUCGAUAUCGGAUUGAGUCCAAAACUUAGGGAACAUCAUAAUAUUGUGGGAGGAGUCAUUUGGUGGAUUUUGAGUGAAAUCCAAUCCCUACAACUAUACAAUACACCAACCACUCCAUUUUAGAACGAACUUCGUACGAACCUGAAUUGCCAAAUUUCGUGGACCGAUCGAUAUCAGAUUGAGUCCAAAACUUGGGGAACAUCAUAAUAUUGUGGGAAGAGUCAUUUGGUGGGAUUUGAGUGAAAUAUAAUCCCUAGAACUAUGCAAUACACCAACCACCCCAUUUAUGAACGAACUUCGUACGAACCUGAAUUGUCCGAUUUGAAGGACCAAUCGAUAUCGGAUUGAGUCCAAAACUCAGGGAACAUCAUAAUAUUGUGGGAGUUGUCAUUUCGUGGCUUUUAGGUAAAAUCCAAUCUCCAGAACUAUACAAUACACUGACCACCCCAUUUAUGAACGAUCUUCGUACGAACCUGAAUUGUCCGAUUUCAAGGACCAAUCGAUAUCGGAUUGAGUCCAAAACUCGGGGAACAUGAUAAUAUUGUGGGAGUUGUCAUUUGGUGGCUUUUGGGUAAAAUCCAAUUUCCAGAACUAUACAAUACACCAACCAACCCAUUUCCAGAACGAACUUCGUACGAACCUGAAUUGUCCGCUUUCAAGGACCAAUCGAUAUUGGAUUGAGUCCAAAACUCGGGGAACAUCAUAAUAUUGUGGGAGUUGUCAUUUGGUGGCUUUUGGGUAAAAUUCAAUCCCUACAGCUAUACAAUGCACCAACCACUCCAUUUCAGAAUGACCUUCAUACGAACUUGAAUUGUCCGAUUUCAUUGACCAAUUGAUAUCGGAUUGAGUCCAAAACCUGGGGAACAUCAUAAUAUUGUGGGAGGAGUCAUUUGGUGGGUUUUGAGUGAAAUCCAAUCUCUAGAACUGUGCAAUACACCAACCACUCCAUUUCCGAACGAACUUCGUACGAACCUGAAUUGUCCGAUUUCAAGGACCAAUCGAUAUCCGAUUGAGUCCAAAACUCGGGGAACAUCAUAAUAUUGUGGGAGGAGUCAUUUGGUGGGUUUUGAGUGAAAUCCAAUCCCUAGAACUAUACAAUACACCGACCACUCCAUUUCAGAACGAACAUCGUACGAACUUGAAUUGCCCGAUUUCAUUGACCAAUCGAUAUCGGAUUGAGUCCAAAACUUGGGGAAAAACAUAAUAUUGUGGGAGGAGUCAAUUGGUUGGUUUUGAGUGAAAUACAAUCAAUAGAACUAUACAAUACACCAACCACACCAUUUCAGAACGAACUUCGUACGAACCUGAAUUGUCCGAUUUCGAGGACCAAUCGAUAUCGGAUUGAGUCCAAAACUUAGGUGAUAACUCAUAUAUUUAUACAUUUAUACCAUCCAUUUCUAGUAUAUUUGUGAUGUUUUUGAGUUAACUUGUUGCGUUUUAUCCUAUUUUGUGUUAGUAUGCAGUUGCAUAUACUUUAGGAUCAAGUUGAAGGCAAAAGAAAUGAAAACAUGCCAUUUUUGGAGCUGACCCUUAUUCAAACGUGGAAACAAGUUUCGUGACCUGUUUUGAAGUCCAAAUAAAGAAUGCAAGGCGAACCUGGCUUGUUUGAAGACUAAGAGCGGAAUGGGAAAGCAAUGGGGAUUUCUAGCCUAAUUUGGAGGUGCCAAAUAAGGCAAAAACGUGCAAAAUAAAGGCUGAUUCAUUAGGAUAUCUUUGGAACAUCUUGCAGCCUUGUUUACCCCAUAAAAACUUGCCUUUUAGCCACUUCUAAAACCCCUAUUUAUUUUGGACGAAUUUCACAACCCUAGAUCUGACUCCUUGGUUAUUCUCUCCUUUCAUGCACACUAAAACCCUAGCCGUCCAUAUAUUUCCACCAUCAGGACUCAGCGCAAGAGGUGGUUCUUGGAGAAGUUCAACAUCAGAAUUGGUUCAAGGGUUUCCUCUCAUGAAUUUAUUUUCACUCAUGUUGUUUAUUUUUGUUUUAAUCUCUUUGAACAUGAUGUGUAACUAAAUUCAUAGCUAGGGAUUUCGAUGUAGCCUUGCAACAUUGAUCCAUGUUUCUAAGUUAAAGUAUUCAGUUCAUCAAUUUGUUUCUUGUUUCAUUCACUGAAUCUAUUGUUCAAUUUGUUUGUCAAUUUUAAUGUUUGAUCACCAUUAGAGUCGCCUACAGAUUAUCUAGACAAGGUUAUAGUAAACAUCAUGCUUAAUCUUGUUAGACAUGUGAAUGAAUGAAGAGAAUGCUAUGCAAACAUCAUGCUGUGUAUUUUCUUUGGUUCUUUAACAUUUUCUUGCAUGCUAAUGACUCUUAACUUGGAACCAAAGUUGAACAUCCCAACUAGGUUGCAGAUUAGGAGAAUUUGAUCAAAACCACACAUCAUAUGGCUGAUCAUAUAUAUGUAAAACGAACUCUGGAAACAGGAUGGUAGUUGAGUACGGUUUAAUUUUAUAAACAUGGAAUUAGUUUUGCAAUGGUGAAUUCGAAAUCCCUGGUCUCUUCCCUAUUCUUUCUACAUCAAUAUAUUAUUCACUACUACAUUCUUUUUGCAUUGGAAGUUAUUUUUCAUUUACAACACAAAAACUACUUUCAAAUUGUCACUUUCAUUUUUAGUUACGGUUCUUUCAAAACUAGUAAUUUAUAGAGGUCCAAUCGGUCCCUGUGGUUCGACACCCUUACUUGUACCAUUAUACUAACCAUAUAUUGGCACCUGGAAGGAACACAACAUUAGGGAACAUUAUAAUAUUAUGGGAGGAGUCAUUUGGGGGAUUUUGAGUGAAAUCCAAUCUUUAGAACUGUGCAAUAGACCAACCAUUCCAUUUCAGAACACAGUUCGCACGAACCGGAAUUGGCCAAUUUCAUGGACCAACGAAUAUCGGAUUGAGUGCAAAACUUGGGGAACAUCGUAAUAUUGUGGGAGGAGUCAUUUGGUGGGUUUUGAGUGAAAUCCAAAAUCUAGAACUAUACAAUACACCAACCACCCCAUUUCAGAACGAACUUCGUACGAACCUGAAUUGUCCGAUUUCAAGGACCAAUCGUUAUCGGAUUGAGUCCAAAACUUGGGGAACAUCAUAAUAUUGUGGGAGUUGUCAUUUGGUGGGUUUUGAGUGAAAUCCAAUCUCUAGAGCUAUACAAUACACCAACCACUCCAUUUCAGAUCGAAAUUCGUAUGAACUUGAAUUCUCUGAUUUCACGGACCAAUCGAUAUCAAAUUGAGUCCAAAACUUGGGGAACCUCAUGAUAUUGUGGGAGGAGUCAUUUGGUGGCUUUUGGGUGAAAUCCAAUCCCUACAACUAUACAAUACACCAACCAUUCCAUUUCAGAAUGACCUUCAUACGACGUUGAAUUGUCCGAUUACAUUGACCAAUCGAUAUCGGAUUGAGUCCAAAACCUGGGGAAUAUCAUAAUAUUGUGGGAGGAGUCAUUUGGUGGGUUUUGAGUGAAAUCCAAUCUCUAGAACUAUACAAUACACCAACCACUCCAUUUCCGAACGAACUUCGUACGAACCUGAAUUGUCCGAUUUAAAGCACCAAUCGAUAUCGGAUUGAGUCCAAAACUUGGGGGACAACAUAAUAUUGUGGGAGGAGUCAUUUGGUGGGUUUUGAGUGAAAUCCAAUCCCUACAACUAUACAAUACACCAACCACUCCAUUUCGGAACGACCUUCGUACAAACUUGAAUUGUCCGAUUUCAUUGACCAAUCGAUAUCGGAUUGAGUCCAAAACUCGGGGAACAUCAUAAUAUUGUGGGAGUUGUCAUUUGGUGCCUUUUGGGUAAAAUCCAAUCUCCAGAACUAUACAAUACACCAACCAACCCAUUUCCAGAACGAACUUCAUACGAACUUGAAUUGUCCGAUAUCAAGGACCAAUCGAUAUCGGAUUGAGUCCAAAACUUGGGGAACAUCAUAAUAUUGUGGGAGGAGUCAUUUGGUGGGUUUUGAGUGAAAUCCAAUCUCUCGAACUAUACAAUACACCAACUACCGCAUUUCCGAACGAACUUCGUACGAAACUGAAUUGUCCGAUUUCAAGCUCCAAUCGAUAUCGGAUUGAGUCCAAAACUUGGGGAACAUCAUAAUAUUGUGGGAGGAGUCAUCUGGUGGGUUUUGAGUGAAAUCCAAUCCCUAGAACUAUACAAUACACCAACCACUCCAUUUUAGAACGAACUUCGUACGAACCUGAAUUGUCCGAUUACAAGGGCCAAUCGAUAUCGGAUUGAGGCCAAAACUUCGGAAACAACAUAAUAUUGUGGGAGGAGUCAUUUGGUGGAUUUUGAGUGAAAUCCAAUCUCUAGAACUAUACAAUACACCAACCACCCCAUGUCACAUGCCGGGAUCAACUCCACCGUAGCACGAUAUUUUCCGCUUUGGGCCCCCCCUCUGCCCGUACGAUUUUGUUUCUGGGAGCUCACGAGUAACUUCCCAGUGGGUCACCCAUCCUGGGAUUGCUCUGGCACUCAACUCGCUUAACUUCGGAGUUCCUACGACUCCGAAGCCAGUGAGCUCCCAAAAGGCCUCGUGCUAGAUGGAUGUGGGUGUGCACAUAUAAGGCACAUCACCCCCUCUCCGUUUGGUUGAUGUGGGAUCUUACAAUCCACCCCCCUUAAGGGCCCGACGUCCUCGUCGGCACACUCGCAGCACACGGCAGAGUGGCUCUGAUACCAAAUUGUCACACCCGGGAUCGGCUCCCCCGUAGCACAAUAUUGUCCGCUUUGGGCCCCCCUCACUGCCCUCACGGUUUUGUUUCUGGGAACUCUUGAGUAACUUCCCAGUGGGUCACCCAUCUUGGGAUUGCUCUAGCCCCCAACUCGCUUAACUUCGGAGUUCCUACGACUCCGAAGCCAGUGAGCUCCCAAAAAGCCUCGUGCUAGAUGGAUGCGAGUGUGCACAUAUAAGGCACAUCACCCCCUCUCCGUUGGUUGAUGUGGGAUCUUACAAUCCACCCCCCUUAAGGGCCCGACGUCCUCGUCGGCACACUCUCACCACACGGCAGAGUGGCUCUGAUACCAAAUUGUCACACCCCUGGAUCGGCUCCGCCGUAGCACGAUAUUGUCCGCUUUGGGCCCCCCUCACUGCCCUCACGGUUUUGUUUCUGGGAACUCACGAGCAACUUCCCAGUGGGUCACCCAUCCUGGGAUUGGUCUAGCCCCCAACUCGCUUAACUUCGGAGUUCCUACGACUCCGAAGCCAAUGAGCUCCCAAAAGGCCUCGUGCUAGAUGGAUGCACAUAUAAGGCACAUCACCCCUUCUCCGUUGGUUGAUGUGAGAUCUUCCAAUCCACCCCCUUAAGGACCCGACAUCCUCGUCGGCACACUCGCACCACACGGCAGAGUGGCUCUGAUACCAAAUUGUCACAUCCAGGGAUCGGCUCCGCCGUAGCACGAUAUUGUCCGCUUUGGGCCCCCCUCUCUGCCCUUACGGUUUUGUUUCUAGGAACUCACGAGCAACUUCCCAGUGGGUCACUCAUCCUGGGAUUGCUCUAGCCCCUAACUCGCUUAACUUCGGAGUUCCUACGACUCCGAAGCCGGUGAGCUCCCAAAAGGCCUCGUGCUAGAUGGAUGCGGGUGUGCACAUAUAAGGCACAUCACCCCCUCUCCGUUGGUUGAUGUGGGAUCUUACACCCCAUUUAUGAACGAACUUCGUACGAACCUGAAUUUUCCGAUUUCAAGGACCAAUCGAUAUUGGAUUGAGUCCAAAACUUGGGUAACAUCAUAAUAUUAUGGGAGGAGUCAUUUGGUGGGCUUUGAGUGAAAUCCAAUCCCUAGAACUUACAAUACACCAACCACUCCAUUUCAUGACGAACUUCGUAUGAACAUGGAUUGUCCGAUUUCAUGGACCAGUCGAUAUCGGAUUGAGUCCAAAACUUGGGAAACGUUGUAAUAUUGAGGGAGGAGUGAUUUGUUGCAUUUUGAGUGAAAUCCAAUCCCCAGAACUAUACAAUACACCAACCACUCCAUUUAAGAACGAACUUCGUACGAACCUGAAUUGUCAGAUUUCGAGGACCAAUCGAUAUCGUAUUGAGUCCAAAACUUGGGGAACAUGAUAGUAUUGUGGGAGGAGUCAUUUGGUGGGUUUUGAGUGAAAUCCAAUCCCUAGAACUAUACAAUACAUUAGCCAUUCCAUUUCAAAACGAACUUCGUACAAACCUGAAUUGUCAAAUUUCGUGGACCAAUCGAUAUCGGAUUGAGUCCAAAACUUGGGGAACAUCAUAAUAUUGUGGGAGGAGUCAUUUGGUGGCUUUUGAGUGAAAUCCAAUCUCUAGAACUAUACAAUACACCAACUACCCCAUUUCAGAACGAACUUCGUUGGAACCUGAAUAGUCCGAUUUCAAGGACCAGUCGAUAUCGGAUUGAGUCCAAAACUUGGGGAACAUCAUAAUAUUGUGGGAGGAGUCAUUUGGUGGCUUUUGAGUGAAAUCCAAUCUUUAGAACUAUACAAUACACCAACCACCCCAUUUCAGAACGAACUUCGUACGAACCUGAAUUGUCCAAUUUCAAGGACCAACAGAUAUCGGAUUGAGUCCGAAACUUGGGGAACAUCAUAAUAUUGGGGAGUUGUCAUUUGGUGGGUUUUGAGUGAAAUCCAAUCCCUAGAACUAUACAAUACACCAAAAACUUCAUUUCAGAAAAAACUUGUUGAGCCUAUUGUUAACAACUAAAAUGAGUUAUUAAAAACAGCAACUUUAAUUCUCGCAAGUGCACGAACCGUUUAUAGUAUAGCUUAUGUAAAUACGAGGUCGAUCCCACGGAGAAUGGUAACUUGGUUCCAAGUUAAAUUACUUAGAAUGUUAGAAAAAUAUAGAACAAAGAAACUGACUAACUAGCUAAAGGCAUGGUCGAAUUCAACAAUGCCUCUUGCUAAUUACUCAAGGUCUAGGACAGAAUCCUAGCACCACACACGCACUCGAAAUGGGGGGUUUUUUUGUUGAAAUGAAAACAAGAAAGUGAAAUGAAAGUGCUCGAAAGUGAACACUGGCAGCAAUCAACAAGUUGUGAAACAAUGAUUGAGAGGUGUUAGAGCCUUGGAAUCCACCACUAGUUUUCCUAUCCAAGUUAUGAAUGCAUAGAAAUUGACUCAAGCUUCAUUAGCAAUAGAUUAUCGCAUACAAGCCUAUGGUAUCUAGGUGCAGGAUGCAUGAUUCUCCUAAGGCAUGUGAUUAUGCAUGGUAUCUACACAACACGUGAUCUCUAAUAUGCAACCUAAGCAUGGUAUCUACUUAGAAUAAAGCAUACAAGAGUCAUUAAGCUCCUUGAGAAUAUGAUAAUCACACAAGUCCUAGAACAUGGUAUCUGUCCUAGUCAACCUAUGGUUAUUAACCCCUUGAAUGAUUCUUAGGCCAUUCAUGUGUUGCUUGUGAAAGGAGAGUAGAAUUGGUGAAUCUAAACCCCUUCCCAACCUGUGCUAGAUGCAUAAAAUCCUAGUUAGCUACUCCAAGAGAACAUACAUCAAGCACAUAAUAAACUAGAGAUUAACAACUUAAUAAUAAAAGCAAGGAAAUCAAUUAACUAUAAAAUCAUCCAUAACAUUGAAUAUUCAUGACUAGGGCUUCACCCUAAGCCCUAACUAAAUGGAUUAGUUAGACAUAACUAUGAAUACAGAAAAUAAGAAAUACAUAGAUAGGAUAAAGAGACGAGAAGAACUAGAUGAUGGGAGCAAGGAAGUUCCCAGGACAGCUCCAAGCUCCCUUCUCUCUUUGUGGUGAAUCUGAAUGUGUAUAUGAAAGUAAUGGAUGAAAUGAAUGUGUGUGUCUGCCCUCUCUCCCCUUGAAAGAGUGUGCAACUCUCUAUUUAUAGAGUGCAAUUUCGUGCUCCCCUUUGGCUGGUGAAGCACACCUCUCUUAGCUGCUGCCAACUGCUCUAGCUGCCCAUACAUGCCUGUUGCUCCAGCUGCCCAUACUUGCCUGUUGCUCCAGCUGCCCAUACUUGCCUGUUGGACUUUUCUUGGUUUUUGAGUUCCCAUACUGAUUUGUCUCCCAUGUGUGGCUGCUCUAAUGUGUAGCACAUGGCUCUAGGGAUGUAGCCACAUUAAAUAUGAUGGCAGCCAACAUGACAUUUCUGCGAACUUGGUUCAGUCUUUGACGUGUUGAGGGCUCCAGUUGUAUCCAAUUGGGCUGAACUUUGGAUAUGUUAUAAUAGACGCCCAUUGGAACAACGUCUAUGAAGGAUGUCUCCUCAUCUGACCUGUGUAAGUUACUGAAAUGAGGCCUGCAAGAUGACCUACGAAACUGGACUGACAAGGAGUGUGGCACAAAUUGGUUUUGUCUUUAAGCUCAUAUUCCACUUGUGCCACUCAGCCCUUAACAUGCAUGAAUUGUAUCAAAUGUCAUCCCCUUGCUAUAUUAACCUACAAAGCACACAAACAUAGGUAAGAGACUCAAAAUAAAGAGAAGCUAACAAAAUUACUAAGGAAAGAAGGCAUGCAAAUGUGUGAAAUUAUGAACUUAUCAAAUACCCCAAAACUUAGAUUUUGCUAGUCCUCGAGCAAAACAAAAUAAAACUACAACUUAGGAAACAGGAAAUAAGCAACUAGCCUUCCAAACAAUAUCCUCAAAGAAUCAUCAGUGUAAAUGGUUCCAAAGAAACACAACAAUCACAAUCUAAGUUCCACACAUGAUUCACGAGAAAGCAAAGCUAGCAUUGACACCCUUAAGUGUAGUGUGUGAAUGCCAAAUCCGAACAACACCUGCAUCUCAAAUAAGUACAUGUGCACACACUUAGAGCAAAAUCAAGAAUUCCGAACCCCAUAAGCUCAUUAUCCAAUCUGCUCUCCACAGUAAUACCAUGCAACACCAAGGAUCAAAAGGACUUUACAAGGGUAGUAAUGAGGUUUAGGGUAGUGGUUGAAUGAAAGAAGGGAUAUGAGAUAUACAAUAUUUUGAGCACACUUAAAGCACAGGUAAGAGCAUAAGAGAGUACUGAACUUUGUAACAAGCAAGGAACACAUACAUGAGCAGAUUUUCAACAUAAUUUCAGCACCUUGAAAUGUGUUUAUUUGGCCUAAUUUUGUGGCUCUUUACCCUAGAUCACAAUGAUGUUCUCCUUAUAACACCCUAGGGCCGUGACUACAUUGGUCACACUUCAUUACCUCUUUUGAUUAGUUACCAAUACCCCCAAACUUAUUUCUUUUCAACACUUGGGUUACGGCACCAAUUAUUCACUUUUGCUCUAUAAACCUUGCAUUCUUUAUAACUCUCUUUUGAAGAUAACUUUAAUUGCUCAUACAAUAAGUAAGGAUAAGAAAACAGAGGCUCAUUAUGGUAGGAUUCAUUUACACAAAGAAAGGCUUAACGUAGGCUCAAAUGGGAUGACUAGGGAUGAAUACAUGUAGAGGGAUGGUUAGAAAGGCUCAAACGGUUCAAACAUGGCCUAAAUCACUUCCUAAGCAUUGUAUGGCAACAAAAUGUCUCAAGAAAUAUUCAAAUAAGUUCUAGAGUACGAAACCAAGAUCAUGAGAUAACUAGAAUUGCAUAACGUCUCUAAGUAGCAAGAUGUUGGACUAACUUGGCAAAGUGCUCAAUAAGUGCAAGGAUGGCAUGCAGGACAAAGUUAACUUAGAAUCACACGCAGACCUUAAACAAUGACUAUCAAUUUCUGAAAAACCAUAAUAGUAUUAAAUCUAAGUCUUUAUCAUAGGUGUUUGGAAGGAUAACGAAACAACACACAAAAUCCUGCGUUUUUAGACAGUAGACACACUCAAAAAUUUUAAAAUUUGACAAUUUGAAACAGCAUAACUAAAUCCUUCCCCCCAAACUUAAAUGAAACAUUGUCCUCAAUGUUUAGAGUGUAAGAAAAAGCAAUGCCUCAUUAAUGAAAGGAAAGAAGACAAGGGAAAGACAUAACCAAAGGUUAGAUUUCAGAAAAACUCCCCUUUGAAGCGAUUAGGAUGCAAGCAAGCUUCCUCGCAUAUUCUAUCUUCUCCUCAUCACCUUGGGUUGCCUCCCAAGAAGCGCUAAGUUUCACGUCGUCAGCCGGACGUCCAAACUCUGGUGAGCUUUAAGAGAGUGGUGGAGGCUCCUUGAGUGCUUGAGACUCAAUAUUGGCAUCAAAGUUGGCAUCGAAGUAAGGUUUCAACCGAUGUCCAUUCACCUUGAAGGUGCUGCCAUCCUUAAUGUUUUGAAUCUCCACUGCGCCAUGAUUAAACACAUUAGUAAUAACAAAAGGGCCAAUCCACCGAGAACAAAGCUUACCUGGGAAGAGCUUAAGGCGUGAAUUGAAUAAGAGAACCUUCUGCCCUUUCUCAAACGUCUUCCUAAGAAUUUUCUUGUCGUGAUAUUGCUUUGUUUUCUCCUUGUAAAGCUUCGCAUUCUUAUACGCUUCAUGUCUCAACUCCUCCAGCUCAUUGAGUUGAAGCCUCCUCUUCUCACCAGCGGCUUUCAUAUCAAAAUUGAAGGCCUUGAUUGCCCAAUAAGCCCUGUGCUCAAGCUCCACUGGUAAGUGACAAGGUUUACCGAAAAUAAGUCUAUACGGAGACAUACCUAUAGGGGUCUUAUAAGCAGUCCUAUAAGCCCACAAUGCAUCAUCCAAACGCAUGGACCAAUCCUUCCUUGUGGUGUUCACUGUCUUUUCAAGUAUGUACUUAAUCUCCCUAUUGCUUAUAUCAACCUGCCCACUAGUUUGAGGAUGAUAGGGUGUUGCCACCUUAUGCGUGAUUCCAUAUCUCUUCAAGAGUGCUGCAAAAGCUUGGUUAACAAAGUGGGAGCCACCAUCACUAAUGAUUGCUCUAGGUGUGCCAAACCUUGUAAAAAUAUUUCCUUUGAGAAAACCGAUCACAACUUUAGCAUCAUUAGUUCUAGUGGCAAUGGCUUCCACCCAUUUAGAAACAUAAUCGACAGAAACUAAUAUAUAUUCAAAUCCAUAAGAGGUAGGAAAAGGGCCCAUGAAAUCAAUUCCCCAAACAUCAAAUAUAUCAAUGAUUAAGAUAUUGGUGAGAGGCAUCUGGUUUCUAGCAUGUAAAUUACCCAUCCGUUGGCAUCUAUCACAUGAAGCACAAAAAACAUAAGCAUCCUUAAAAAGGGUAGGCCAAAAGAAACCUGAUUGUAGCACCUUGCUGGCAGUCUUCUUUGCUCCAAAAUGGCCUCCGCAUGCGUGGGAGUGACAAAACUCCAGAAUGCUCUUAAAAUCACCUUCAGGCACACACCUUCGAAUUACUUGGUCUGGACAAUGCUUGAAUAGAUAGGGAUCAUCCCAAAAGUAGUAUCUUGCUUGCUUCCUAAGCUUGUCACGUUGGAACGUAGAUAACCCUGUAGGGAGUUCGUUAGUGCACAAAUAGUUAACAAUAUCAGCAAACCAAGGCAAUGGAUUGAGAGAAUUCAAAGCACAAAUGGAGAAGAGUUGCUCAUCAGGGAAGCUUUCACGCAAUGGCAAUGAAUCCUCCUCUUCGUUAGAUACAUGCACCAAUCUACUCAAGUGAUCAGCCACGACAUUCUCACUUCCUUUCUUAUCUUUUAUCUCCAAGUCAAACUCUUGCAACAAGAGAAUCCAUCUAAUGAGUCGCGGUUUGGCAUCCUUCUUAGCUAACAAGUAUUUCAAUGCUGCAUGAUCAGUGUAAACAAUAACCUUGUUAGUAAUCAAAUAUGAUCUAAACUUCUCUAAAGCAAAUAUGACGGCUAACAACUCCUUCUCUGUGGUGGAAUAGUUGAGUUGGGCAUCGUUGAGGGUUCUACUAGCAUAGUAGAUGGCAUGUGGCUUCUUAUCAACUCGCUGUCCCAAAACAGCUCCAACAACAUAAUCUGAGGCAUCACACAUCAAUUCAAAGGGCAAGCUCCAAUCCGGUGGUAUAAUGACUGGGGCAGUUGUGAGCAUCUUCUUCAAAGCAUUGAAAGCAUUCUCACAGUCUUGAUCAAACACAAAAUCCAUGUCCUUGGCAAGGAGAUUGCACAUAGGCCUUGCAAUCUUAGAAAAAUCCUUAAUGAAACGCCUAUAGAAACCUGCAUGGCCAAGGAAAGAACGUACUUCUUUGACAGAAGUAGGUGAGGGCAUAGAGGCAAUCAAAUCAAUCUUAGCUUUAUCUACCUCAAUUCCUUUACUAGAGAUGACAUGACCAAGAACUAUGCCUUGGUUAACAAUAAAAUGACAUUUUUCCCAAUUAAGCACAAGGUUAGUAUGUUCACAUCUAGCCAACACCUUGGAUAAGUUAUGCAAGCAUUGAUCAAAAGAAUCACCAAAGACAGAGAAGUCAUCCAUGAAUACCUCAAUGAACCUUUCUACCAUGUCGGAGAAAAUGCUCAUCAUGCACCUUUGAAAAGUGGCUGGGGCGUUACAGAGACCAAAAGGCAUCCUCCUAUAGGCGAAAGUGCCAAAGGGACAUGUGAACGUGGUCGAUCCGCAGGCCGUGCAGCUAUGGCGAUUUGGUUGUAGCCUGAAUAUCCAUCAAGGAAGCAAUAGUGGCUAUGCCCAGCUAAUCUCUCAAGCAUUUGAUCAAUGAAUGGAAGAGGAAAGUGAUCUUUGCUUGUUGCUGUGUUGAGCUUCCUAUAAUCAAUGCAAACUCUCCAGCCCGUGGUCAUCCGUGUAGGUACAAGCUCGUUUGCUUCAUUCUUCACCACUGUGAUACCUGACUUCUUGGGGACAACUUGCACUGGGCUCACCCAUUGACUGUCAGAAAUAGGGUAAAUAAUACCAACAUUUAAAAGCUUCAUUACCUCUUUUCUUACCACCUCCUUCAUGUUUGGAUUGAGACGUCUUUGGGCAUCCCUCUUAGGCAUUGCAUUGUCUUCCAAUAAUAUCUUGUGCAUGCACAGUGUUGGGCUUAUGCCUUUGAUAUUUGCAAUGCUCCACCCAAUCGCAGUUUUGUGCUCUUUUAGAACUCUCAAAAGCUUCUUUUCAUCAUUUGGUCCGAGAUGUGAGGCAAUGAUAACAGGUAGAGUCUCAUUUUCACCUAAAUAAGCAUAUUUAAGGUGUUUUGGCAAUUGCUUUAAUUCCAACUCUGGUGCCUGCACAAUAGAAGGUAAAACCUUAUUAGUAGGUGGGGGUAAUGAUUCAAAUUGGUUUGCAUACCUCUUUCCAAUUUCUAUGUAGCUAUCCAUGCUGCAAACAAGCUCAAGAAGUAAAAAGAUCACAGCCUCAAAGCUGUCCACUUCUUCUUUCCUUAUGCUUUGUGUGAUGCAUGCUUCAAUGGGCUCCAAAUAACUCAUUGGCAGUGCUUCUUUCACCAUAGUAUCAAUUGCAUCAAGAUGGAAAACUUCAUGCUCAUCACUUGGAAACUUGGAGGCUUCAAACACUUUGAAUGCUAUUGUCUCAUCAAACACAUUCAUGGUCAAUGUACCCUUCUUCACAUCAAUAAUAGCACCGGCAGUUGCCAUGAAUGGCCGACCUAGAAUGAGUGGUAACUGAUUGUCAUGAAUUGGUGCUUCUUCCAUCUCCAACACCAAGAAAUCUGCUGGCAAAAUUAGCUCUUCCACUUUCACCAAAACAUCUUCUAGAAUGCCCUUAGGGUACCUAAUAGUUCUAUCUGCCAAUUGAAUGCUCACAGAUGUGGCUUGCAACUCACCAAGGUUAAGUUUCUCAUAAACAUGAUAUGGCAUAAGAUUUAUAGAAGCACCAAGAUCAAGCAAAGCUUUUUGAAACUUAAAAUCACCAACUAUGCAAGGUAUAGAAAACGAACCUGGAUCCUUUAGCUUUGGAGGCAGGUUUCUUUGUAACACUGCACUUACCUCUUCACUCAAUGCAACUUGUUCAUGCUCUUUGAAUCUCCUCUUGUUAGUGCAUAGAUCCUUCAAAAAAUUUGCAUACUUUGGAAUCUGAGUAAUGGCAUUGAGCAAUGGGAUGUUGAUUUGCACCUUCUUGAAUGUUUCCAUUAUCUCAUCCAAGCCUUGAUCUUUCUUUGACUUUGAUAACCUGCUGGGAAAGGGUGCAAUAGGCCUAAAAGCAUUAGUUGAAAUUGGAACUUGAUUAGCAUUAGAUGAUACCUUAGGGCCUGUGCUCUUUCCAGGAGCAUUGAUGGACUGAUUGUUGGAAGCUGUGGGCUGCCCAUGUGGUGGCUGAAUGAUCUCCACGUUUUCUCCAUCUUCUUGUUCUUCAUUGGCAUCUCCAACCUUAUUAUCAACUUGUUUACCACUUCUCAAGAUGUGUACUGCUUUAGCAUGCUCUUGAUGCCUUGGAUUCACCUCCGUUUGGCUUGGGAAAGUUCCGGAUGCUCUAUUGCUCAUGGAGGAUGCAAUCUGCCCAACUUGCACUUCUAGUUUGUUCACUGCAUUUUGAAGAUUCUGAUUGGUUUGCAUCUGUUGCCCCAUGAACUUCUUGAACAUGUCUUGCAAUUCUCCCAUUUGAUCACCCCUUUGCUCUUGCACUUGUUGCGGAGCUUGUUGGAAUUGCCUUUGUUGUGUUUGGAAUCCUGGGGGAGGUCCUUGAGAUUGUUGCACAUUUGAAUUGUUGCUCCACCUGAAAUUAGGAUGAUUUCUCCACCCCGGAUUGUAUGUGUUUGAGUAAGGAUCAUUAUUAGGAUUCCUUGCUUGAAGGGAAUUUGCUUGUUCUAGCAUGUGCUCCGCAAAAGAUUGGUCUACAAACUUCCACUUUGUUUCCUAGAGGGCCAGUCACUGCCUGUUGAAGCAAAGAACACAUAACAUCAAGUUUUGCAGCAAUUUCAUUAUUAGUACUUACCUCAGAGACCACAGCUUUCAUAGGAGCUCCUCUUCCUUUAUUGUGGCUCCAUUGUUGAGAGUUAGCACUCAAGGAUUCAAAGAGAGUAAAAGCCUCAUCUGCUGUUUUGUUCAUCAGUCCUUCUCCACUUGUUGAAUCUACCAUCAUCCUUUCGGAAUCAAGUAAACCUUCAUAGAAAGAUUGCAUUUGCAUCCAACUCUCUAUGUUGUGGUGUGGGCAAGAACUUAUCAUCUCCUUGUACCUCUCCCAACAUUCAUGAAAAGCUUCUCCUUCCUUUUGUGUGAAACCAAGAAUUUCCUUUCUAAUCUUGUUAGUCUUUUGAGCCGGAAAAAAUUUCUGCAAAAACUUAUUAGAAAGCUCUUCCCAAGUAUGAAUUGAAGCAUUAGGAAAAGAGUAUAACCAAGACUUAGCUUUAUCUUUUAAACUGAAUGGGAAUAGCCUCAUCUUAAUCUGCUCAUCAUCAAGGUUUUGAAUUUUGAUCGUAGCACAUAUUUCAAAGAAUUGCUUAAUAUGCAUGUAAGGAUCCUCAGUGGUAUUACCAUAAUAAGUUGGAAGAAGAUGAAUCAUACCACUUUUAAGCUCAAACCUGUCAACUGUGAGUUGAGGAUAGACGAUGCAUAAAGGUUGAUCGGUGACUUUGGGAAUGGAAAACUCACGCAGGGAUUUUCUUGGUUGGACAACAAGCACACCACCUCCUUCAUCAUUGUUGUUGUUCGAAAUCUCUACCAUGUUGCUUGAACCUUCAGAUUCGUAACUUUUAGAUUCAACGCUUGAAGAACUAUAGUUCUUCCUCAAACCAGCAUGCACAGCAGCGGUUCUUGGUGAAAGUGGCUCAGGUGAACUUUGCUCCUGGUCAGAUUCGGACAUGCACACACCAAGGAAGUCAAUUCAGUGCCUUCAAUGGAGAUAACAACAAAAUACAAAACUGAAUACUAAAAGAAAAACCAACGAAAAGAAACAAAUGAAAUAAACAAAAACAAAACAAUCAAAGUAAUCUAACUAUAGCACCAUCAUUACCGGUUCCCCGGCAACGGCGCCAAAAACUUGUUGAGCCUAUUGUUAACAACUAAAAUGAGUUAUUAAAAACAGCAACUUUAAUUCUCGCAAGUGCACGAACCGUUUAUAGUAUAGCUUAUGUAAAUACGAGGUCGAUCCCACGGAGAGUGGUAACUUGGUUCCAAGUUAAAUUACUUAGAAUGUUAGAAAAAUAUAGAACAAAGAAACUGACUAACUAGCUAAAGGCAUGGUCGAAUUCAACAAUGCCUCUUGCUAAUUACUCAAGGUCUAGGACAGAAUCCUAGCACCACACACGCACUCGAAAUGGGGGGUUUUGUUGUUGAAAUGAAAACAAGGAAGUGAAAUGAAAGUGCUCGAAAGUGAACACUGGUAGCAAUCAACAAGUUGUGAAACAAUGAUUGAGAGGUGUUAGAGCCUUGGAAUCCACCACUAGUUUUCCUAUCCAAGUUAUGAAUGCAUAGAAAUUGACUCAAGCUUCAUUAGCAAUAGAUUAUCGCAUACAAGCCUAUGGUAUCUAGGUGCAGGAUGCAUGAUUCUCCUAAGGCAUGUGAUUAUGCAUGGUAUCUACACAACACGUGAUCUCUAAUAUGCAACCUAAGCAUGGUAUCUACUUAGAAUAAAGCAUACAAGAGUCAUUAAGCUCCUUGAGAAUAUGAUAAUCACACAAGUCCUAGAACAUGGUAUCUGUCCUAGUCAACCUAUGGUUAUUAACCCCUUGAAUGAUUCUUAGGCCAUUCAUGUGUUGCUUGUGAAAGGAGAGUAGAAUAGGUGAAUCUAAACCCCUUCCCAACCUAUGCUAGAUGCAUAAAAUCCUAGUUAGCUACUCCAAGAGAACAUACAUCAAGCACAUAAUAAACUAGAGAUUAACAACUUGAUAAUAAAAGCAAGGAAAUCAAUUAACUAUAAAAUCAUCCAUAACAUUGAAUAUUCAUGACUAGGGCUUCAUCCUAAGCCCUAACUAAAUGGAUUAGUUAGACAUAACUAUGAAUACAGAAAAUAAGAAAUACAUAGAUAGGAUAAAGAGACGAGAAGAACUAGAUGAUGGGAGCAAGGAAGUUCCCAGGACAGCUCCAAGCUCCCUUCUCUCUUUGUGGUGAAUCUGAAUGUGUGUAUGAAAGUAAUGGAUGAAAUGAAUGUGUGUGUCUGCCCUCUCUCCCCUUGAAUGAGUGUGCAACUCUCUAUUUAUAGAGUGCAAUUUCGUGCUCCCCUUUGGCUGGUGAAGCACACCUCUCUUAGCUGCUGCCAACUGCUCUAGCUGCCCAUACAUGCCUGUUGCUCCAGCUGCCCAUACUUGCCUGUUGGACUUUUCUUGGUUUUUGAGUUCCCAUACUGAUUUGUCUCCCAUGUGUGGCUGCUCUAAUGUGUAGCACAUGGCUCUAGGGAUGUAGCCACAUUAAAUAUGAUGGCAGCCAACACGAUAUUUCUGUGAACUUGGUUCAGUCUUUGACGUGUUGAGGGCUCCAGUUUUAUCCAAUUGGGCUGAAAUUUGGAUAUGUUAUAAUAGACACCCAUUGGAACAACGUCUAUGAAGGAUGUCUCCUCAUCCGACCUGUGUAAGUUACUGAAAUGAGGCCUGCAAGAUGACCUACGAAACUGGACUGACAAGGAGUGUGGCACAAAUUGGUUUUGUCUUUAAGCUCAUAUUCCUCUUGUGCCACUCAGCCCUUAACAUGCAUGAAUUGUAUCAAAUGUCAUCCCCUUGCUAUCUUAACCUACAAAGCACACAAACAUAGGUAAGAGACUCAAAAUAAAGAGAAGCUAACAAAAUUACUAAGGAAAGAAGGCAUGCAAAUGUGUGAAAUUAUGAACUUAUCAAAUACCCCCAAACUUAGAUUUUGCUAGUCCUCGAGCAAAACAAAAUAAAACUACAACUUAGGAAACAGGAAAUAAGCAACUAGCCUUCCAAACAAUAUCCUCAAAGAAUCAUCAGUGUAAAUGGUUCGAAAGAAACACAACAAUCACAAUCUAAGUUCCACACAUGAUUCACGAGAAAGCAAAGCUAGCAUUGACACCCUUAAGUGUAGUGUGUGAAUGCCAAAUCCGAACAACACCUGCAUCUCAAAUAAGUACAUGUGCACACACUUAGAGCAAAAUCAAGAAUGCCGAACCCCAUAAGCUCAUUAUUCAAUCUGCUCUCCAUAGUAAUACCAUGCAACACCAAGGAUCAAAAGGAGUUUACAAGGGUAGUAAUGAGGUUUAGGGUAGUGGUUGAAUGAAAGAAGGGAUAUGAGAUAUACAAUAUUUUGAGCACACUUAAAGCACAGGUAAGAGCAUAAGAGAGUACUGAACUUUGUAACAAGCAAGGAACACAUACAUGAGCAGAUUUUCAACAUAAUUUCAGCACCUUGAAAUGUGUUUAUUUGGCCUAAUUUUGUGGCUCUUACCCUAGAUCACAUUGAAAUGUGNNNNNNNNNNNNNNNNNNNNNNNNNNNNNNNNNNNNNNNNNNNNNNNNNNNNNNNNNNNNNNNNNNNNNNNNNNNNNNNNNNNNNNNNNNNNNNNNNNNNNNNNNNNNNNCUCCUCGCUCAUUGCGACAGUAGUGUAUUUCAACACUUGGGUUACGGCACCAAUUAUUCACUUUUGCUCAAUAAACCUUGCAUUCUUUAUAACUCUCUUUUGAAGAUAACUUUAAUUGCUCAUACAAUAAGUAAGGAUAAGAAAACAGAGGCUCAUUAUGGUAGGAUUCGUUUACACAAAGAAAGGCUUAACAUAGGCUCAAAUGGGAUGACUAGGGAUGAAUACAUGUAGAGGGAUGGUUAGAAAGGCUCAAACGGUUCAAACAUGGCCUAAAUCACUUCCUAAGCAUUGUAUGGCAACAAAAUGUCUCAAGAAAUAUUCAAAUAAGUUCUAGAGUACGAAACCAAGAUCAUGAGAUAAGUCCGAUUUCAAGGACCAAUCGAUAUCAGAACGAACUUCGUUGGAACCUGAAUAGUCCGAUUUCAAGGACCAAUCGAUAUCGGAUUGAGUCCAAAACUUGGGGAACAUCAUAAUAUUGUGGGAGGAGUCAUUUGGUGGCUUUUGAGUGAAAUCCAAACUUUAGAACUAUACAAUACACCAACCACCCCAUUUCAGAACGAACUUCGUACGAACCUGAAUUGUCCGAUUUCAAGGACCAAUCGAUAUCGGAUUGAGUCCAAAACUUGGGGAACAUCAUAAUAUUGUGGGAGUUGUCAUUUGGUGGGUUUUGAGUGAAAUCCAAUCCCUAGAACUAUACAAUACACCAAAAACUUCAUUUCAGAACGAACUUCGUACGAACUUGAAUUGUCUGAUUUCAUGGACCAUUCGAUAUCAGAUUGAGUCCAAAACUUGGGGGACAUCAUAGUAUUGUGGGAGGAGUCAUUUGGUGGCUUUUGGGUGAAAUCCAAUCCAGACAACUAUAAAAUACACCGACCACUCCAUUUCAGAACGACCUUCAUACGAACUUGAACUGUCAGAUUUCAUUGACUAAUCGAUAUCGGAUUGAGUCCAAAACUUGGGGAACACCAUAAUAUUAUGGGAGGAGUCAUUUGGUGGGUUUUGAGUGAAAUCCAAUCUCUAGAACUAUACAAUACACCGACCACCCCAUUUCAGAACAAACUUCGUACGAACCUGAAUUGUCCGAUUUCAAGGACCAAUCGAUAUCGGAUUGAGUCCAAAACUUGGGGAACAUCAUAAUAUUGUGGGAGGAGUCAUUUGGUGGGUUUUGAGUGAAAUCCAAUCCCUAGAACUAUACAAUACACCAACCACCCCAUUUCAAAACGAACUUCGUACGAAACUGAAUUGUCUGAUUUCAUUGACCAAUUGAUCACAGAUUGAGUCCAAAACUUGGGGAACAUCAUAAUAUUGUGGGAGGAGUCAUUUGGUAAGUUUUCAGUGCAAUACAAUCCCUAGAACUAUACAAUACACCAACCACUCCAUUUCAGAACGAACUUCGUACAAACCUGAAUUGUCAAAUUUCGUGGACCACUCGAUAUCCGAUUGAGUCCGAAACUUGGGGAACAUCAUAAUAUUGUGGGAGGAGUCAUUUGGUGGGUUUGAGUGAAAUCCAAUCUCUAGAACUANNNNNNNNNNNNNNNNNNNNNNNNNNNNNNNNNNNNNNNNNNNNNNNNNNNNNNNNNNNNNNNNNNNNNNNNNNNNNNNNNNNNNNNNNNNNNNNNNNNNUGGGGAACAUCAUAAUAUUGUGGGAGGAGUCAUUUGGUGGGUUUCGAGUGAAAUCCAAUCUCUAGAACUAUACAACACACCAACCACCCCAUUACAGAACGAACUUAGUAGGAACCUGAUUUGUCCGAUUUCAAGGACCAAUAGAUAUAGGAUUGACUCCAAAACUUGGGGAACAUCAUAAUAUUGUGGGAGGAGUCAUUUGGUGUGUUUUUAGUGAAAUCCAUUCUCUAGAACUAUACAAUACACCAACCACCCCAUUUCAGAAGGAACUUCGUACGAGCCUGAAUUGUCCGAUUUCAAGGACAAAUCGAUAUCGGAUUGAGUCCAAAACUUGGGGAACAUCAUAAUAUUGUGGGAGGAGUCAUUUGGUGGGUUUUGAGUGAAAUUCAAUCUCUAGAAUGAUACAAUACACCAACCACCCCAUUUCAGAAUGAACUUCGUACGAAUCUGAAUUGUCAGAUUUCAAGGUCCAAUCGAUAUCGGAUUGAGUCCAAAAAUUGGGGAACAUCAUAAUAUUGUGGGAGUUGUCAUUUGGCGGGUUUUGAAUGAAAUCCAAUCCCUAGAACUAUCCAAUACACCAACCCCUCCACUUCAGAAGGAACUUCAUACGAACUUGAAUUGUCAAAUUUCGUAGACCAAUCGAUAUCGGAUUGUGUCCAAAACUUGGGGAACAUCAUAAUAUUGUGGGAGCCGUCAUUUGGUGGGUUUUGAGUGAAAUCCAAUCUUUAGAACUAUACAAUACACCAACCACUCCAUUUCAUAACGAACUUCGUACUAACCUGCAUUCUCAAAUUUCGUGGACUGAUCGAUAUCGGAUUGAGUCCAAAACUUGGGGAACAUUAUAAUAUUGUGGGAGGAGUCACUUGGUGGGUUUUGAGUGAAAUCCAAUCUCUAGAACUAUACAAUACACCAACCACCCCAUUUCAGAAUGAACUUCGUAGGAACCUGAAUUGUCCGAUUUGAAGGACCAAUCGACAUCGGAUUGAGUCCAAAACUUGGGGAACAUCAUAAUAUUGUGGGAGGAGUCAUUUGGUAAGUUUUGAGUGAAAUACAAUCCCUAGAACCAUACAAUACACCACCCACUACAUUUCAGAACGAACUUCGUACGAACUUGAAUUGUCAAAUUUCGUGGACCGAUCGAUAUCGGAUUGAGUCCAAAACUUGGGGAGCAUAAUAAUCUUGUGGGAGGAGUCAUUUGGGGGGUUUUGAGUGAAAUCCAUUCUCUAGAACCAUACAAUACACCAACCACCCCAUUUCAGAACGAACUUCGUACGAACCUGAAUUGUCCGAUUUGAAGGACCAAUCGAUAUCGGAUUGAGUCCAAAACUUGGGGAACAACAUAAUAUUGUGGGAGGAGUCAUUUGGUUCGUUUUGAUUGAAAUCCAAUCUCUAGAACUAUACAAUACACCAACCACCCCAUUUCAGAACGAACUUCGUAGGAACCUGAAUUGUCCGAUUUCACGGACCAAUCGAUAUCGGAUUGAGUCCAAAACUUGGGGAACAUCAUAAUAUUGUUGGAGGAGUCAUUUGGUGGGUUUUGAGUGAAAUCCAAUCUCUAGAAUUAUACAAUACACCAACCACCCCAUUUCAGAACGAACUUCGUACGAACCUGAANNNNNNNNNNNNNNNNNNNNNNNNNNNNNNNNNNNNNNNNNNNNNNNNNNNNNNNNNNNNNNNNNNNNNNNNNNNNNNNNNNNNNNNNNNNNNNNNNNNNNNNNNNNNNNNNNNNNNNNNNNNNNNNNNNNNNNNNNNNNNNNNNNNNNNNNNNNNNNNNNNNNNNNNNNNNNNNUAAGGACCAAUCGAUAUCGGAUCAGUCCAAAACUUGGGGAACAUCAUAAUAUUGUGGAGGGAGCCAUUUGGUAAUUUUUGAGUGAAAUACAUUCCCAAGAACUAUACAAUUCACCACCCAGUCAAUUUCAGAACGAAAUUGAUGGGAACUUGAAUAUUCAAAUUUCAUGGACCAAUUAAUAUCGGAUUGAUUCCAAAACUUGGGGAAAAUCAUAAUUUGUUGGGGGUAGUCAUUUGGGGGGUUUUGAGUGAAAUCCAUUCUCUGGAACUAUCCAAUACACCAACCACCCCAUUUCAGAAGGAAUUUGGUACGAACCUGAAUGUCCGAUUUGAAGGACCAAUCGAUAUCGGAUUGAGUCAAAAACUUGGGGAACACCAUAAUAUUGUGGGAGGAGUCAUUUGGUUCGUUUUGAGUGAAAUCCAAUCUCUAGAAUUAUACAAUACACCAACCACCCCAUUUCAGAAUGAACUUCGUAGGAACCUGAAUUGUCCGAUUUCAAGGAGCAAUCGAUAUCGGAUUGAGUCCAAAACUUGGGGAACAUCAUAAUCUUGUGGGACGAGUCAUUUGGUGGGUUCUGAGUGAAAUCCAAUCUUUAGAACUAUACAAUACACCAACCACCCCAUUUCAGAAUGAACUUCGUCGGAACCUGAAUUGUCCGAUUUUAAGGACCAAUCGAUAUCGGAUUGAGUCCAAAACUUGGGGAACAUCAUAAUAUUGUGGAAGGAACCAUUUGGUAAGUUUUGAGUGAAAUACAAUCCCCAGAACUAUACAAUUCACCACCCACUCAAUUUCAGAACGAACUUCGUGCGAACUUGAAUUGUCAAAUUUCGUGGACCGAUCGAUAUCGGAUUGAGUCCAAAACUUGGGGAGCAUCAUAAUCUUGUGGGAUUAGUCAUUUGGGGGGUUUUGAGUGAAAUCCAUUCUCUAGAACUAUACAAUACACCAACCACCCCAUUUCAGAACGAACUUCGUACGAACCUGAAUGUCCGAUUUGAAGGACCAAUCGAUAUCGGAUUGAGUCCAAAACUUGGGGAACACCAUAAUAUUGUGGGAGGAGUCAUUUGGUUCAUUUUGAGUGAAAUCCAAUCUCUAGAAUAUACAAUACACCAACCACCCCAUUUCAGAAUGAACUUCGUACGAACCUGAAUUGUCCAAUUUCAAGGACCAAUCGAUAUCGGAUGAGUACAAAAGUUGGGGAACGUCAUAAUAUUGUGGGAGGAGUCAUUUGGUGGGUUUUGAGUGAAAUACAAUCUCUAGACCUAUACAAUACACCAACCACCCCAUUUCAGAACGAACUUCGUACGAACCUGAAUUGUCCGAUUUCAAGGACCAAUCGAUAUCGGAUUGAGUCCAAAACUUGGGGAACAUCAGAAUAUUGUGGGAGCAGUCAUUUGGUGCGUUUUGAGUGAAAUCCAAUCUUUAGAACUAUACAAUACACCAACCACCUCAUUUCAGAACGAACUUCGUACGAACCUGAAUUGUCCAAUUUCAAGGACCAAUCGAUAUCGGACUGAGUACAAAGGUUGGGGAACGUCAUAAUAUUGUGGGAGGAGUCAUUUGGUGGGUUUUGAGUGAAAUCCAAUCUCUAGACCUAUACAAUACACCAACCUCCUCAUUUUAGAACGCACUUCGUACGAAUCUGAAUUGUCCGAUUUGAAGGACCAAUUGAUAUCGGAUUGAGUCCAAAACUUGUGGAACAUCAUAAUCUUGUGGGAGGAGUCAUUUGGUGGUUUUGAGUGAAAUCCAAUCUCUAGAACUAUACAAUACACCAACCACCCCAUUUCAGAAUGAACUUCGUAGGAACCUGAAUUGUCCGAUUUCAAGGACCAAUCGAUAUCGGAUUGAGUCCAAAACUUGGGGAACAUCAUAAUAUUGUGGGAGGAGUCAUUUGGUAAGUUUUGAGUGAAAUACAAUCCCCAGAACCAUACAAUUCACUGCCCAUUCCAUUUAGAACGAAUUAGUAAAAACGUGAAUUGUCAAAUUUUGUGGACCGAUGGAUUCGGAUUGAGUCCAAAACUUGGGGAGCAUCAUAAUCUUGUGGGAGGAGUCAUUUGGGGGGUUUUGAGUGAAAUCCAUUCUCUAGAACUAUACAAUACACCAACCACCCCAUUUCAGAACGAACUUCGUACGAACCUGAAUUGUCCGAUUUGAAGGACCAAUCGAUAUCGGAUUGAGUGCAAAACUUGGGGAACACCAUAAUAUUGUGGGGGGAGUCAUUUGGUUCGUUUUGAGUGAAAUCCAAUCUCUAGAAUUAUACAAUACACCAACCACCCCAUUUAAAAAUGAACUUCGUAGGAACCUGAAUUGUCCGAUUUCAAGGACCAAUCGAUAUCGGACUGAGUCUAAAGGUUGGGGAACAUCAUAAUAUUGUGGGAGGAGUCAUUUGUUGGUUUUGAGUGAUAUCCAAUCUCUAAAACUAUACAAUACACCAACCACCCCACUUAUGAACGAACUUCGUACGAACCUGAAUUGUCCGAUUUCAAGUACCAAUCGAUAUCGGAUUGAGUCUGAAACUUGGGGAACAUCAUAAUAUUGUGGGAGGAAUCAUUUGGUGGGUUUUGACUGAAAUCCAAUCUCUAGACCUAUACAAUACACCAACCUCCUCAUUUCAGAACGAACUUCGUACGAACUUGAAUUGUCCGAUUUCAAGGACCAAUUGAUAUCGGAUUGAGUCCAAAACUUGGGGAACAUCAUAAUCUUGUGGGAGGAGAAAUUUGGUGGUUUUGAGUGAAAUCCAAUCUCUAGAACUAUACAAUACACCAACGACUCCAUUUCAGAACGAACUUCGUACGAACCUGAAUUGUCCGAUUUCAUUGACCAGUCGAUAACGGAUUGAGUCCAAAAGAUGGGGAACAUCAUAAUAUUGUGGGAGGAGUCAUUUGGUAUGUUUUGAGUGAAAUACAAUCCCUAGAACUAUACAAUACACCAACCACUCCAUUUCAGAAUGAACUUCGUACGAACCUGAAUUGUCAAAUUUCGUGGACCGAUCGAUAUCGGAUUGAGUCCAAAACUUGGGGAACAUCAUAAUAUUGUGGGAGGAGUCAUUUGGUGCGUUUUGAGUGAAAUCCAACCUCUAGAGCUAUACAAUGCACCAAUCACCCCAUUUCAGAACGAACUUCGUACGAACAUGAAUUGUCCGAUUUCAAGGACCAAUCGAUAUCGGAUUGAGUCCAAAAGUUGGGAAACAUCAUAAUAUUGUGGGAGGAGUCAUUUGGUGGGUUUUGGGUGAAAUCCAAUCUCUAGACCUAUACAAUACACCAACCUCCUCAUUUCAGAACGAACUUCGUACGAAC
rnacentral:lncRNA from 1 species